UGCCUGCAUAGGGUGGAGGCAGCUGCUGGCUUCUCCCAGAGCCUGCCAUCAUUCCCUUGCCUCAGGCUUCCCUGCUGGGACCACAAGCCCAGGAGGAAGGCUGGCAAUGGCUGCCACCCUCUUCCUCUCUGUGGAGUUCUUCUCUCUCCCAAGCAUGGAUUUGCAUUUCCCUCUCUACCUUCUGUUACUCAAGCCCCCAGGGACAAGGUGACAGUUAAACCCCCUCUUCCGGCUAGUGGCCUCAGAGCACUCGCUUCCUUCCAGGAGGAGUCCUGCCUGUUUGGAGUGAAGCCAUGCUAGAGCAAGAGACCAAAACCCUGGGCAGACGUGGGACCUCAGCAGUCAGGAUGUGGCUGAAACGUUGACAGGCACAACAGUCAGGGCAUGGCCCUCACGCACGGAGAAUGCAGGACAGCAGUACUAGCACCUGACACCUCUUCCACACAGCACUGCCCACUCCCGGGGAGCCCGGAGGAAUCGACAGUCCCUGUUCCCGCUUCUUUGGGCUCCCAGCAGAGAAUGGGACUCCAGAACAUUAUUUCCUAUCUGGGCUGCUGAGUGACACCACAAGCAAGCUCAAGCACCAGAGAAAGCGCGAAAGCGAAUUCAGAAGCAGCUUCCAGGCAGGGCCCGUUUGGCAGUCUGUGAAAUCCGGUCACGCAGCUGGCCGCCCCUCCCCCACACCACCAGUGCCUGUGUCUUUCGCUUCCUGCGAGGCUGACAGUUAAGGCCUCAGCUCAGUGCGGGGCUGAGGCAGCCUGCGUGUGGUUAUUUGUGCACAGAUCCACUUGCCUCCCCUCCCCACAACUGUUUCCAUUCUCACCAAGCAGCCACGUCCGGGUCAGACACGCAGGACAACCACCGGGGAUUUCCAAGGGACUUUUUGAGAAAGGCCAGUGAAAGUUGGGUGUUGGCUUCAUGGCUUAGGUGCUCUUGCUGAAACCCACAUCUUCCCUCUGGGAUGUAAGCUCUAGCCUGGUGGGGCUGCUUCCCAAAGCUCCUUUCAGAUUGAAAUCGAACAACAGAAACCAUCACUCCUAGGGCUGUUUCAGUUUGCUGGGCUGGGACAAUCCUUGAAAAGCUCAGUUGGAACUGGGAUUAACAGACCAUGCCCUCAGAAUUUGAAGGCAUCGGAGAAAAUGGUUCUGGUUUGAGGAGGACCUGCUGACUGGCGACACGAGCAGCCUGGGCCAACCCCAGCUUCCUUCCCAUGGGCCUCCCAGGACAAGGAAAAUGGGGGGAGGUCCCUGGAGAGUCAGCAACUCUCCACACUCCAGGCCACAGGUAACAGGAGACGCUGACUCACUAGCAACACCAGGUGGCUGAGAGACACACAGCCCCAGUGCAGGCACCUCUGCUAGUGCGUCAGAGCUCACCCUGCAGGGGUGGCUCUGGGACUCUCCCCCCACUGUUUUGAUUGAUUGUGCACACACUGUGUACACGGAAGAAUGGCUAACAAAAGGAGAGCAAAUGAGUUUUACCUUUUAUAAAACUUGUUAGAAUUUUCACAUUGCUGCUUUUUUAUAAUCACAACAAUUCCAAGGUAAACAGGCAAAGUGUAAUCCCUCUCGUUUUACAGGUGGCGAACAAAGCACCGGGAAAUCAAAAUGGGGAUACUAAGAGGAUUUUUUGUGGAAAUAUCAGAAAUUGAGAAUUUAUGGUCAAUUUUAAAUUCCAAAACAUGUAACUCACCUUGGCCAAUAACAUGCUGUCAUUUAAGGCCCCCCACUAGGCUGGAGAAAGGGAAGGAGGGGCCCACUUCCAAUGGAGGCACAAACUAGCCAGAGCAAGACCCAGCAGCCACCUGAGGGUCUCUCCAGUGAGGGAAAUUCCGUGGAACGUGAUAACUGCGGGAGGGGGAGGUCAUGGGCGCCUCCCUGAUGUACAGGAAGAGCAGUAAAAACAAAACACACAAGAAAGGAAAAAUAAAAGUAUUUAACAUAGUCAAAGGGCAAAGAAGUCUCAGGUUUUCAGAGGACACAUGCUGUGCCCGGGUCUGGAGGGCAGGUAGCAGCCAACAGGCACUAGGACUACUGGGAUGACGGGGUUGCCUAGACUUAGGACAGACUUUCCAAUGAGACCCAAGGAAGCAUGCUGGAAAGGCAGCAACACUGGAGGCUCAGAGAUGGGUAACAGGGGCAGAAGGGCCUCUGCUGCUCUGGGAAGGUGCUUAUAGGGCAAAUGAGUUGGUACUGUGCCCAAGUAAGAGAACGGAACGAGGAGGUAAGACAUCUGUCAGGGUCGACGGAUUCAUGUUUAUUGGCGUUUGACACUGACCAUGAGUCCUGCCCACGGACAAGGGGGCAGCUCAGGGCUGUGGGAAGGAAAACCAGCAUCCUACUCCCCACCUGAUUCAGACUCUAUUAAUCCACUAACCCAAACCACUCCUACCCCCACCAGUAGUCCAAAGAAGGUAAAAUGGCCCAGGGAUAUGCCGUGCUGCUCUCUUAACAGUCUGCUGGGUCUCGGAAUUGGAGAGUAAGGAGUAUUUGAAGUUCUGUCCAUUCGGUUUCACAACAAUAAAUAA